rnacentral:tRNA from 1 species
GGGCUGUUAGCUCAGACGGAAGAGCACCGGCCUUUUAAGCCGGGGGUCGCGGGUUCAAAUCCCGCACAGCCUA